rnacentral:RNase_P_RNA from 1 species
CUGCCGCUGGUGCCUGGAGUGCACGGGAGGAAAGUCCGGGCAGCAUAGGACACCCCACUUCUGAAAGUGGAAGCUGUCGGUGACGGCAGGUGACGGCAGAAGAAAACAACCGCCUCCUUUCUUUCUGGAUGGAGGUAAGGGUGAGAAGGUGGUGUAAGAGACCACCAGACGGCUGGUGACAGUCGUGCUGUGCCAACUGGGGGCUGCAAGUUCGCGUAUACCAUCGAUUGAGGGCUGUCCGUCCGAGUCACCCCUCAAGGGCGUGUGCGAUGGAGGGUAGAACGCUGGAGCCAUGGGGUGACUCAUGGCGUAGAUAAAUGGCAGACACUGGCAGCAAUGUCAGUACAGAACCCGGCUUACAGGG